CUGCAAUCCAUGGAAGCUCACAUAUUUAUAGAGUAAACUACUAAAGGACAAGGGGGAAAAAAAUGAUAUGGUAACCAUAUAAAAUUACAAGUCAUCCGGCACACUGAGUAACCAUUCACCUAGCAUUCAGACAAUUCUAUAAUACCCACUACCAUAAGUAAGCAUGUAAACUAAGCAUAUAAAGAAAAAAACACCAAAAUAAAGUGCAACAAUAUUUAUUAAAAUUCACCCAGUGUAGUCAUUGAUGACCCGCAGGAUAAUG